rnacentral:lncRNA from 1 species
CGCUUCCCAUAAAAAUAAAUUAUUUGACUAAUAUGUAUACCAAAUUAAGACUUCGGCUAAAUAUUAAGAUAAUAAAAAUUAAAUCUAUACAAUUAAAAUAAAAUCAUUCUAAAAAUCUAAUAUAAGAAGGAUGUUGAACCCAUGUAUAACUAUUUAUUAUUCUACCAUUAAUGAUUCUAACUAUACAAUAUUUUUAAUAUUUAUAAUAAAUCCCAAAAUAUUAUUCCUUAUGAUACUUUUUCUCUAACAAUAUUUCAUCAACCACGGUUUAUGUAACAACGUUAAAAACUUAAUAUAAAAAUAUUAUUGGACAGGAUCUAAACGUAAUGGAUCCAGAUCGGUUCAGGUAUAUAGGACCCGAAAAGAUUCAAAAUAUCUAAAAACCUAAAAAUACCUGAAACAUAGAAAAAAAACCAGAAACCCCCAAAA